rnacentral:lncRNA from 1 species
AUGGGGCUGGUUUCCCGGACCCAGAUGAAACACACUCAUGGACCCAGAGAUGAAACACACUCAAGGACCCAGAUGAAAACAUACUUAUGGACCCAGAUGAAAACAUACUUAUGGACCCAGAUGAAAACAUACUUAUGGACCCAGAUGAAAACAUACUUAUGGACCCAGAUGAAAACAUACUCAUGGACCCAGAUGAAACACACUCAUGGACCCAGAUGAAAACAUACUCAUGGACCCAGAUGAAACACACUCAUGGACCCAGAUGAAACAUACUCAUGGACUAAAACACUCUUUCAUUGAGAAUCUCCAUUGAAAGUGCUUCUUAGUCCAGGGGCUGUUAUGUAUCAUGUGUCUCAGAGGAGGAGUGCUGAUCUAGGAUCAGGUUCCCCCUGUCCAUAUAAUUGUAUUUGUUAUAAUCUUAAAGACAAAACAGAUCCUAGAUCAGCUCUGAGACCAUUGAUGCGGCCCCAGGAAUGUAGGCCUGAUCUGAGUGCAGGACUCUCCUAUACUGUCCGAUAAUGGAGGUAUACUGUAAUAUACCUUUUUGUUUUGUAGAACAGAGUAACUUCCCCCCCCAAAAAAAAACUGAUCCUUGAAAUAAAGCGAUUUUUUUUGUGUUUUUAUAUUCUCAAUCUCCCUCCACUUUCUUUUCAAAGUAACCCACUAGCUCGGUUUCCAUCUAACUGACGGGAGAUGUUCAAUGCGAAUAUUGUAAAAUCUGCAUAAAAACAAUAUGCAAAUUUUCCCACGAGAGAGAGAGAUGUUUCCAUCAAACUGACUUGUAAGCAGAUAAAAGGCUGUGAGUGAUGCCAUGGUGCAUAUAAAAUACAUUGUUUUCAGGGUUAAAUUCCCACGUACCGACAAUCUGUUUCCGUUGCAUUUUCAGCUCUUGAUAGUUGUCUCACAAAACAUGUUGCGUUGUAUAGCGAGCGAUGAGAUUAUGUACUAAAGAGAGGAAUAAUUUUUAUUUGUUAAAGGGCAGUCCAGCAUCAAUCAUCUUGUCACCGGAAUAAGAUCCUCAAAAUCUAUUGAAAAGUUCAUGAUUUCUACGUAUUUCAUCUGUAGCCUAAUAAACUGCUUGCUUUCCUGACGAGUCGUAGGGGAGGACCACACACACCACGUCAUCGCGUAACUCAACGGUUACUUCCAUGUGAUGGUUAUUAUAUCAAUAUCUGUGCAUAAAAUCCCACCUUGUCCAGCGUAUUUUGUUUUGUCGACAUUUGGAAAGUUUACCGAAAACAAAUAGUUGUUUCCGUCAGGCCUGUCAUGACAUUUUUACUUAACUCAAGAUUUCUUUUUAAAUCCAAAGUUGGGUGUAAACCUGGUUACAAAUACCUAUUCCAAUUUCAUUUAGCCAUUACUGCAGUGUAACACCAGGUGGCGCUGUAUUACACUGUAAACCCAGCCAGUAGCACAGAGGUGACCAAAUCCUCUUCAUAUAGAGAGCUACCGACAGAGCAGGCUUUUGCUCCAGAC